rnacentral:rRNA from 1 species
AACUCUGUGUGGUGGAUCACUCGGCUCACGUACCGAUGAAGAAUGCAGCAAACUGUGUUAAUCUUUGCGAAUCGCAGACUGCUUCGAGCAUUGGUAAUUUGAACGCACAUUGCGGCCUUUGGUUAUCCAUAGGCUACACUUGAUCGAGUGUCGGC